UACGGGGGGGGCAAGCGUUGUUCGGAAUUACUGGGCGUAAAGGGCUCGUAGGCGGCCAACUAAGUCAGACGUGAAAUCCCUCGGCUUAACCGGGGAACUGCGUCUGAUACUGGAUGGCUUGAGUUUGGGAGAGGGAUGGCGGAAUUCCAGGUGUAGCGGUGAAAUGCGUAGAUAAUCUGGAGGAACACCGGUGGCGAAGGCGGCAUCCUGGACCAACACUGACGCUGAGUGAGCGAAAGCCAGGGGAGCAAAACGGGG
rnacentral:rRNA from 1 species